rnacentral:ncRNA from 1 species
CACUCUCAUUCUGAGAGUUUAUGCAGUUACCCACUGCGUAGCGGCUAGAACCCGCUAAUUUUAUCAAAGGAAAAACAAAUG